rnacentral:rRNA from 1 species
UACGUAGGGGGCAAGCGUUGUCCGGAUUUAUUGGGCGUAAAGAGCGUGUAGGCGGCCAGGUAGGUCAGCUGUGAAAACUCGAGGCUCAACCUCGAGACGUCGGUUGAAACCAUCUGGCUAGAGUCCGGAAGAGGAGAGUGGAAUUCCGUGGUGUAGCGGUGAAAUGCGCAGAUAUCAGGAAGAACACCCGUGGCUAAGGCGGCUCUCUAGUACGGUACUGACGCUGAGACGCGAAAGCGUGGGGAGCGAACAGG